rnacentral:rRNA from 1 species
UACAGAGGCCUCGAGCGUUAGGCGGAAUCACUGGGCUUAAAGCGUGUGUAGGCGGACUUCUAAGUACCUUGUGAAAUCCCACGGCUUACCCGUGGAACUGCUUGGUAUACUGGUUGUCUUGAGCCACCUAGGGGCGAGUGGAACAAAUGGUGGAGCGGUGAAAUGCGUAGAUAUCAUUUGGAACGCCAAUGGUGAAAACAACUCGCUGGGGGUGUGCUGACGCUGAGACACGAAAGCCAGGGGAGCGAACGGG